CCCUACGGGGCGCAGCAGUGAGGAAUAUUGGUCAAUGGUCGGAAGACUGAACCAGCCAAGCCGCGUGAGUGAGGAAGGUACAGAGUAUCGUAAACCUCUUUUGUCAGGGAACAAAGGCGGGGACGUGUCCCCGGAUGAGUGUACCUGAAGAAAAAGCAUCGGCUAACUCCGUGCCAGCAGCCGCGGUAAUACGGAGGAUGCGAGCGUUAUCCGGAUUUAUUGGGUUUAAAGGGUGCGCAGGCGGUCUGUUAAGUCAGCGGUCAAAACCCGGGGCUCAACCCCGGCCCGCCGUUGAAACUGGCAGG
rnacentral:rRNA from 1 species